ACGGGAGGCAGCAGUGGGGGAUAUUGCACAAUGGGGGAAACCCUGAUGCAGCGACGCCGCGUGAGUGAAGAAGUAUUUCGGUAUGUAAAGCUCUAUCAGCAGGGAAGAAAAUGACGGUACCUGACUAAGAAGCUCCGGCUAAAUACGUGCCAGCAGCCGCGGUAGUACGUAUGGAGCAAGCGUUAUCCGGAUUUACUGGGUGUAAAGGGAGCGUAGACGGCGAGGCAAGUCUGAUGUGAAAGCCAUGGGCUCAACCCAUGAACUGCAUUGGAAACUGUCUUGCUUGAGUGUCGGAGAGGUAAGCGGAAUUCCUAGUGUAGCGGUGAAAUGCGUAGAUAUUAGGAGGAACACCAGUGGCGAAGGCGGCUUACUGGACGAUAACUGACGUUGAGGCUCGAAAGCGUGGGGAGCAAACAGGAUUAGAUACCCUGGUA
rnacentral:rRNA from 1 species